UGUAUAGAGAUAGAGAAACGGCACAAUGCGCCGUCUGCCAGACAGCAGUCAAAGAGGAUUGGAGAUUAGCCGGGUGCAGACACAGUCGGUCGAUCAGUCAGUCAGGGAGGGAGGGAGCCGAAGAAAAGCAAGAGGGCAGUGUGGUCUCAGGGAUUUUUCUCUCUUCCCCCCCUUCCCAGUCUCUCCGGGCCCCGUCGCUGAUUUGAGCCUCCAGCCGGUUGUACGUCGUCGCUCUCCUUCUCUGCUCCAUCUGUCCCUCCCCCCAUCAUCUCUCCUCUUUCUCUCCUUCCUCCCUCCCUCUCUCUCACUCUCCCUCUUUCUCUCUUUCUCUCUCUCAUACCAAAGCCUGGGGGAGCCAGUGGAGAUUAAAUGUAGCCUCUAUAAGCCAAAGCACAUCAUGUAGCAAUGUUUCUAUGGUCCCUUCUCUCUCACACUCUUUCUCUCCCUCUCUCUGUCUCUCUCUGUCUGUCUGUCUCUCCGUCCUCCUCUGAAGCGAUAGUGUGAAUGAUGUCGGCUCGUGUGAGACACACACUCAGGGAAAGAAAGGAGAAAGAGAGUGCGAGGACUGGAAAAGUGGAUUUUUGUUUUUCUUUUUCUUUUGCAUGCAUGCAGAAGAGAACAGAGGAUUUGUUUUAUGGGUGGAAAACGGACAACGGCAAGGUGGAAAAAACAACGAAAGGAGGACUACUUUCUCUCUACCUCCCUCCCUCCCUCCUUCCCUCCCCUCCUCCUCCUCACCUCUCUCCCCCUCUCUCUCUCGUCUGAUACAGAGGAAAAGUGGGCCUCUGGCUGUAAGCGAUUACAGCUGUGAGGCAAAUUAAUGGAUGAUAUUUCUCUCCCCCCUUUUUCAUUUAAAAAAAAAAUGCUUUUCCUCCUGCCGAUCAACACGAGGAGAAAAAAAAAGAGCCAGAGGGGGGAAAAGAAAGAGUAAAGGAAAGAUUGAGAGAAAGAGGUGGAGUACUAAUAUUGGGGAGGGGGGGGGGGGGGAUAUGGUUUUUUCCUGUCUUCCCUCCUUUCCAGCUCUGCAUGUGAUUGAAAGAGAGAGAAAACAAUGCGAAGGAAAAGGGCGAGGAAGAGAGAAAGCGGAGCGAGACAAGAGAUCAGCAGGCGCAUUCGUUUUGUCCUUUAACUUGGAUUUGUGUGUGUGUGUGUGAGAGAGAGAGAGAGAGAGUGUGCGUGUGUGAAAGUGCAUGUGUGUGUGUGUGUGUGUGUGUGUGUGUGUGUGUGCAUUUGUUCCCUCGCCAACCUGCCUCGGACCUGCAGGUUUGGGUAAAAAAAGUAAGUAGAGGCUCGAGUGCAAGAAAGGCAAAUGAGUGUGGCACUGUUUUGUGUAUGCAAUGCAUGCAAGUGUAUGAGUAGGUGUGUGUGUGUGUGUGUGUGUGUGUGUGUGGUGUAUGUGUGUGUGUGCAGCCCCCCCCCCUCCGCCUCCUCCCUUCGGUGAGGCAGCAUACUGGUAUGCUUCACAGGCACUGUGGCCCCGGCUGCAAGCACUGAUUCCAUGGCUCGAUGCUCGCUCUUUUAUUUUACCUUUCUUUCUCUUUACCUCUCACACUCUCCGUCUACGUCUCUCACACACACACACACACUCUCUCCGUCUCACACACACACGCACUCUCCGUCUCACACACACACACUCUCCGUUGCUGUGUACCUGUUCUAUCUAACCUUUAAGUAUCACAAUUCCCUUUCAGCCUUUUCUGGGAAGAGGAAUCCUUUCGCCGACUCUGUCUCGCGAUUCUCUUCCCCAGACUGCUCACUCUCACUGUGUGUGUGUGUGUGUGUGUGUGUGUGUGUGUCGCUCUGUGUGUGUGUGUGUGUGUGUGUGUGUACAAGAGAGCGAAGGGAUAGAGGGAGAGAGAGCAUGCACAUGGUUCAUUCCGGCUCGGUCCUACCACCCAUCCUCAUGCCUCUCUUUCUUGUCUCCGUCCGUCGCUCUCACGCCGUUUUAUUUCGCCUGACUCUGAGCAGCUCGCCGGACGGACAGACGGACGGACCUCUUCCUUGUGUUGCUUUCUUGUGAAAAAAAAAAAAAAAAAAAAAUUCUUCCUCUGCACAUAACUGGAAUCUUGUUGGCGUGCUGCAAGUUAAAAAAAUCUGAGCUUUCUCUUUCUCUCUCUGUCUCUUUUUCUUCCCCUCCCAAGCAGGAAACGAGCGAGAAGAACAACGGGCAAAAGGGGCAUCCUGGAUCCGAAGGGGAGGCCGAUCACACCAGGUCAGGACAUGUCGGGGAAUGGUCCGUGAACAUGAGACGGAUCUGACAGCCACACUGACGCAAGCUUCAAACUGCCCAAACACACACAUGCUAUGAUAUGAGAUACUGUGACGCUGUAGAUGUGUUUUACGUGUCAUACAGAAAUGUUUGAUGUAAAUAAAAUGUGUUUUAAAAAUAUCA